CGUCACACCGCAGACCUGCUCGACGGGUCGUAGUUCCAGGCCGUCGGAGGGCAGAAACUCGCGGGAGAAGUCCGCGGUGUCCGCGGCAUGACCACGCAGGGCCGACGGAGACACGGUGCGUGCCUGGUGCGCCUGCGGGACAACUGUCCUUUCCGCAAGCUGAGGAAAUGUCGCUGUCGCAGCCAGACCGACGUGAACGGCCCCGCGGGGCCACCCGGCGCUCCAGCGGGGGACGUCACCCGCCCGCCCGGGCCCCACCACGCAGAGGAGCCUUCAGCCAUGGACACAGAUGCUGCAUACCAGGCUGGGCCAAGUUAUCCCAGCAUGCAUUUGGACUCCCCUCCUUUCCCGGGACCAUCACGUUUAAACAGUGUUGGUGUUCCCCAGAAUCACCGGUCGGUACCAAGCGACUGCGGGAUGGAACUUGAUAAUGAUGUGGACCCUGAGACGGGGGAGAGGGCGUUGGGAUGAGGGACGCCGGAAGAUGGAGAUCUAGGCACACUUUUCAUGUCUCAAAAGUGGACUGUUUGUUCAUGUGGCUGAAGACCUCAGGGAAGUUCAGGACUUUUGUCUUCUUUUUUUUUACCCCCUUAAAUCUUAUACUUAGUAGCUAUUUGCUUUCCACAAAUCUGUCUGUACAAAAUGGUAAUAGUUGCUGUGAAACGUGAUCGAGAUUUUUACAGAAAGUGAAUGAACUGCAGUAGGUCAGGGCAGACACCGGUUCUGUACUGAAGUUUACAGACGUUUAUGCUUCAAAUUCACCUGUUAUGCAUAAUUUGUAUUAUUCUUUGUGUUUUGAUAUUUUAUACAAAUAAAGCCUCAAAAAAUGUAA
rnacentral:lncRNA from 1 species